UACGGAGGGAGCUAGCGUUGUUCGGAAUUACUGGGCGUAAAGCGCACGUAGGCGGCUAUUCAAGUCAGAGGUGAAAGCCCGGGGCUCAACCCCCGGAACUGCCUUUGAAACUAGAUAGCUAGAAUCUUGGAGAGGUCAGUGGAAUUCCGAGUGUAGAGGUGAAAUUCGUAGAUAUUCGGAAGAACACCAGUGGCGAAGGCGACUGACUGGACAAGUAUUGACGCUGAGGUGCGAAAGCGUGGGGAGCAAACAGGG
rnacentral:rRNA from 1 species